rnacentral:rRNA from 1 species
UAAGGAAUAUUGGUCAAUGGACGCAAGUCUGAACCAGCCAUGCCGCGUGGAGGAUGAAGGUCCUCUGGAUUGUAAACUUCUUUUAUCUGGGACGAAGCACUUCUUUUCUAAGAGGCCUGACGGUACCAGAUGAAUAAGCACCGGCUAACUCCGUGCCAGCAGCCGCGGUAAUACGUAGGUGGCAAGCGUUGUCCGGAAUUACUGGGUGUAAAGGGUGCGUAGGCGGGUAUGUAAGUCAGGUGUGAAAUUCCGAGGCUCAACUUCGGAACUGCAUUUGAAACUACAUAUCUUGAGUGAAGGAGAGGUAAGUGGAAUUCCCAGUGUAGCGGUGAAAUGCGUAGAUAUUGGGAGGAACACCAGUGGCGAAGGCGACUUACUGGACUUUAACUGACGCUGAUGCACGAAAGCGUGGGUAGCAAACA